AAUGAACGCUGGCGGCGUGCUUAACACAUGCAAGUCGAACGAGAAACCCCGGCUUGCCGGGGGAGUAAAGUGGCGCACGGGUGAGUAACGCGUGGGUAAUCUACCCUCGAAUUGGGGAUAACACAUCGAAAGGUGUGCUAAUACCGAAUAAGACCACGGUGGCUUCGGCCACUGAGGUCAAAGAUGGCCUCUGCUUGCAAGCUGUCGUUUGAGGAUGAGCCCGCGUCCCAUUAGCUAGUUGGUGGGGUAAGAGCCCACCAAGGCAACGAUGGGUAGCUGGUCUGAGAGGAUGGCCAGCCACACUGGAACUGGAACACGGUCCAGACUCCUACGGGAGGCAGCAGUGAGGAAUUUUGCGCAAUGGGGGCAACCCUGACGCAGCAACGCCGCGUGAGUGAAGAAGGCCUUCGGGUUGUAAAGCUCUGUCAAGCGGGAAGAAACCUUACUAUAGGUAAUGAUAGUAAGCUGACGGUACUCUGCCAGAAAGCCCCGGCUAACUACGUGCCAGCAGCCGCAGUAACAC
rnacentral:rRNA from 1 species